rnacentral:rRNA from 1 species
GACGAACGCUGGCGGCGUGCUUAACACAUGCAAGUCGAACGGAAAGGCCCUGCUUUUGUGGGGUGCUCGAGUGGCGAACGGGUGAGUAACACGUGAGUAACCUGCCCUUGACUUUGGGAUAACUUCAGGAAACUGGGGCUAAUACCGGAUAGGAGCUCCUGCUGCAUGGUGGGGGUUGGAAAGUUUCGGCGGUUGGGGAUGGACUCGCGGCUUAUCAGCUUGUUGGUGGGGUAGUGGCUUACCAAGGCUUUGACGGGUAGCCGGCCUGAGAGGGUGACCGGCCACAUUGGGACUGAGAUACGGCCCAGACUCCUACGGGAGGCAGCAGUGGGGAAUAUUGCACAAUGGGCGGAAGCCUGAUGCAGCAACGCCGCGUGCGGGAUGACGGCCUUCGGGUUGUAAACCGCUUUCGCCUGUGACGAAGCGUGAGUGACGGUAAUGGGUAAAGAAGCACCGGCUAACUACGUGCCAGCAGCCGCGGUGAUACGUAGGGUGCGAGCGUUGUCCGGAUUUAUUGGGCGUAAAGGGCUCGUAGGUGGUUGAUCGCGUCGGAAGUGUAAUCUUGGGGCUUAACCCUGAGCGUGCUUUCGAUACGGGUUGACUUGAGGAAGGUAGGGGAGAAUGGAAUUCCUGGUGGAGCGGUGGAAUGCGCAGAUAUCAGGAGGAACACCAGUGGCGAAGGCGGUUCUCUGGGCCUUUCCUGACGCUGAGGAGCGAAAGCGUGGGGAGCGAACAGGCUUAGAUACCCUGGUAGUCCACGCUGUAAACGGUGGGUACUAGGUGUGGGGUCCAUUCCACGGGUUCCGUGCCGUAGCUAACGCUUUAAGUACCCCGCCUGGGGAGUACGGCCGCAAGGCUAAAACUCAAAGGAAUUGACGGGGCCCCGCACAAGCGGCGGAGCAUGCGGAUUAAUUCGAUGCAACGCGUAGAACCUUACCUGGGUUUGACAUGGAUCGGGAGUGCUCAGAGAUGGGUGUGCCUCUUUUGGGGUCGGUUCACAGGUGGUGCAUGGCUGUCGUCAGCUCGUGUCGUGAGAUGUUGGGUUAAGUCCCGCAACGAGCGCAACCCUUGUUCACUGUUGCCAGCACGUUAUGGUGGGGACUCAGUGGAGACCGCCGGGGUCAACUCGGAGGAAGGUGGGGAUGACGUCAAGUCAUCAUGCCCCUUAUGUCCAGGGCUUCACGCAUGCUACAAUGGCUGGUACAGAGAGUGGCGAGCCUGUGAGGGUGAGCGAAUCUCGGAAAGCCGGCCUCAGCUCGGAUUGGGGUCUGCAACUCGACCUCAUGAAGUCGGAGUCGCUAGUAAUCGCAGAUCAGCAACGCUGCGGUGAAUACGUUCCCGGG